AUUGAACGCUGGCGGCAGGCCUAACACAUGCAAGUCGAGCGGAUGAAGGGAGCUUGCUCCUGGAUUCAGCGGCGGACGGGUGAGUAAUGCCUAGGAAUCUGCCUGGUAGUGGGGGAUAACGUCCGGAAACGGGCGCUAAUACCGCAUACGUCCUGAGGGAGAAAGUGGGGGAUCUUCGGACCUCACGCUAUCAGAUGAGCCUAGGUCGGAUUAGCUAGUUGGUGGGGUAAAGGCCUACCAAGGCGACGAUCCGUAACUGGUCUGAGAGGAUGAUCAGUCACACUGGAACUGGGACACGGUCCAGGCUCCUACGGGAGGCAGCAGUGGGGAAUAUUGGACAAUGGGCGAAAGCCUGGUCCAGCCAUGCCGCGUGUGUGAAGAAGGUCUUCGGAUUGUAAAGCACUUUAAGUUGGGAGGAAGGGCAGUAAGUUAAUACCUUGCUGUUUUGACGUUACCAACAGAAUAAGCACCGGCUAACUUCGUG
rnacentral:rRNA from 1 species